CACACAGCCAACAAGUGGCGGAGCUGGGAUUAGAACCCAUGACCUUCUGACUCCCAAGCCCGUGCUCCAUCCGCUCUGCCGUGCUGCUAGUUAGGAGCUGUUCCAGAACCAGCCCCGACAUGAUGGCGGAGGACUCCAGGUAUCCUAUAAUAUUUAUCAGCAUCAGUAGGAAAAGACACCUGAUUUUCGACUAGACAAAGCUUUUUGGAGAAGGUUUAUCCUCUGUAAACCUCACUUUGAACAUACCCAAGAGCUGCAAGAUAAAAUGGAAACAACCUGAGAAAUUAGUCUUCAGUGCCUGAGCUAUUUGUUCCAGGUCCGACAGAUUCGCUGAUGGUUCUGCACCCAGAAUACGAUACCAGUCCUUUUGUGACAUCUGUUCAAAAGUCAGAGAAUGGACUUUUCUUAAAAUAUCCGAAUGAAAAUUUAUGGUAUUCCAUUAACAUUUGAAUAAAACCAAUGGGAAAAAUGUGA